rnacentral:rRNA from 1 species
CGGUUGAUCCUGCCGGAGGUCACUGCUAUCGGGGUUCGAUUAAGCCAUGCGAGUCGAGAGGGUUCAGACCCUCGGCGGACUGCUCAGUAACACGUGGAUAAUCUGCCCUAUGGUGGAGGAUAACCCCGGGAAACUGGGGAUAAUACUCCAUAAGUCAGGAGUACUGGAAUGUCUCCUAACUGAAAGUUUCGGCGCCAUAGGAUGAAUCUGCGGCCGAUUAGGUAGUUGUUGGGGUAACGGCCCAACAAGCCCGUAAUCGGUACGGGUUGUGGGAGCAAGAGCCCGGAGAUGGAAUCUGAGACACGAUUCCAGGCCCUACGGGGCGCAGCAGGCGCGAAAACUUUACAAUGCAGGAAACUGUGAUAAGGGAACCCCGAGUGCCCGUACACGCGGGCUGUCCCGGUGUUUAAAACACAUCGGAAGAAAGGGCCGGGCAAGACCGGUGCCAGCCGCCGCGGUAAUACCGGCGGCUCGAGUGGUGACCACUUUUAUUGGGCUUAAAGCGUUCGUAGCUUGAUUUUUAAGUCUCUUGGGAAAUCUCACGGCUUAACUGUGAGGCGUCUAAGAGAUACUGGGAAUCUAGGGACCGGGAGAGGUAAGAGGUACUUCAGGGGUAGAAGUGAAAUUCUGUAAUCCUUGAGGGACCACCGAUGGCGAAGGCAUCUUACCAGAACGGCUUCGACAGUGAGGAACGAAAGCUGGGGGAGCGAACGGGAUUAGAUACCCCGGUAGUCCCAGCCGUAAACUAUGCGCGUUAGGUGUGCCUGUAACUACGAGUUACCGGGGUGCCGAAGUGAAAACGUGAAACGUGCCGCCUGGGAAGUACGGUCGCAAGGCUGAAACUUAAAGGAAUUGGCGGGGGAGCACCACAACGGGUGGAGCCUGCGGUUUAAUUGGACUCAACGCCGGGCAGCUCACCGGAUAGGACAGCGGAAUGAUAGCCGGGCUGAAGACCUUGCUUGACCAGCUGAGAGGAGGUGCAUGGCCGUCGUCAGUUCGUACUGUGAAGCAUCCUGUUUAGUCAGGCAACGAGCGAGACCCUU